GAUGAACGCUGGCGGCGUGCCUAAUACAUGCAAGUCGAGCGAACGGACGAGAAGCUUGCUUCUCUGAUGUUAGCGGCGGACGGGUGAGUAACACGUGGAUAACCUACCUAUAAGACUGGGAUAACUUCGGGAAACCGGAGCUAAUACCGGAUAAUAUUUUGAACCGCAUGGUUCAAAAGUGAAAGACGGUCUUGCUGUCACUUAUAGAUGGAUCCGCGCUGCAUUAGCUAGCUGGUAAGGUAACGGCUUACCAAGGCAACGAUGCAUAGCCGACCUGAGAGGGUGAUCGGCCACACUGGAACUGAGACACGGUCCAGACUCCUACGGGAGGCAGCAGUAGGGAAUCUUCCGCAAUGGGCGAAAGCCUGACGGAGCAACGCCGCGUGAGUGAUGAAGGUCUUCGGAUCGUAAAACUCUGUUAUUAGGGAAGAACAUAUGUGUAAGUAACUGUGCACAUCUUGACGGUACCUAAUCAGAAAGCCACGGCUAACUACGUGCCAGCAGCCGCGGUAAUACGUAGGUGGCAAGCGUUAUCCGGAAUUAUUGGGCGUAAAGCGCGCGUAGGCGGUUUUUUAAGUCUGAUGUGAAAGCCCACGGCUCAACCGUGGAGGGUCAUUGGAAACUGGAAAACUUGAGUGCAGAAGAGGAAAGUGGAAUUCCAUGUGUAGCGGUGAAAUGCGCAGAGAUAUGGAGGAACACCAGUGGCGAAGGCGACUUUCUGGUCUGUAACUGACGCUGAUGUGCGAAAGCGUGGGGAUCAAACAGGAUUAGAUACCCUGGUAGUCCACGCCGUAAACGAUGAGUGCUAAGUGUUAGGGGGUUUCCGCCCCUUAGUGCUGCAGCUAACGCAUUAAGCACUCCGCCUGGGGAGUACGACCGCAAGGUUGAAACUCAAAGGAAUUGACGGGGACCCGCACAAGCGGUGGAGCAUGUGGUUUAAUUCGAAGCAACGCGAAGAACCUUACCAAAUCUUGACAUCCUUUGACAACUCUAGAGAUAGAGCUUUCCCCUUCGGGGGACAAAGUGACAGGUGGUGCAUGGUUGUCGUCAGCUCGUGUCGUGAGAUGUUGGGUUAAGUCCCGCAACGAGCGCAACCCUUAAGCUUAGUUGCCAUCAUUAAGUUGGGCACUCUAAGUUGACUGCCGGUGACAAACCGGAGGAAGGUGGGGAUGACGUCAAAUCAUCAUGCCCCUUAUGAUUUGGGCUACACACGUGCUACAAUGGACAAUACAAAGGGCAGCGAAACCGUGAGGUCAAGCAAAUCCCAUAAAGUUGUUCUCAGUUCGGAUUGUAGUCUGCAACUCGACUACAUGAAGCUGGAAUCGCUAGUAAUCGUAGAUCAGCAUGCUACGGUGAAUACGUUCCCGGGUCU
rnacentral:rRNA from 1 species